CCGAAAGGCAGGAGUGCCUGCAAGGGAGCGCGGAGACAGGUGGUGCAUGGCUGUCGUCAGCUCGUGUCGUGAGAUGUUGGGUUAAGUCCCGCAACGAGCGCAACCCUCACCUCUUGUUGCCAUCAGGUCAUGCUGGGCACUCUAGAGGAACUGCCGCGGUCAACGGGGAGGAAGGCGGGGAUGACGUCAAGUCAUCAUGCCCCUUACGUCCUGGGCUACACACGUGCUACAAUGGCCGGUACAAAGGGAUGCCACACCGCGAGGUAGAGCUAAACCCAAAAAGCCGGUCUAAGUUCGGAUUGGAGUCUGCAACUCGACUCCAUGAAGGAGGAAUCGCUAGUAAUCGCGUAUCAGCACGACGCGGUGAAUACGUUCCUGGGCCUUGUACACACCGCCCGUCACACCACAAAAGCCAG
rnacentral:rRNA from 1 species